rnacentral:rRNA from 1 species
CUUGUACACACCGCCCGUCACACCAUGGGAGUGGGUUUCACCAGAAGUAGGUAGUCUAACCGCAAGGAGGGCGCUUACCACGGUGGGAUUCAUGACUGGGGUG